GACGAACGCUGGCGGCGUGCUUAACACAUGCAAGUCGAACGGAAAGGCCCUGCUUUUGUGGGGUGCUCGAGUGGCGAACGGGUGAGUAACACGUGAGUAACCUGCCCUUGACUUUGGGAUAACUUCAGGAAACUGGGGCUAAUACCGGAUAGGAGCUCCUGCUGCAUGGUGGGGGUUGGAAAGUUUCGGCGGUUGGGGAUGGACUCGCGGCUUAUCAGCUUGUUGGUGGGGUAGUGGCUUACCAAGGCUUUGACGGGUAGCCGGGCUGAGAGGGUGACCGGCCACAUUGGGAUUGAGAUACGGCCCAGACUCCUACGGGAGGCAGCAGUGGGGAAUAUUGCACAAUGGGCGGAAGCCUGAUGCAGCAACGCCGCGUGCGGGAUGACGGCCUUCGGGUUGUAAACCGCUUUCGCCUGUGACGAAGCGUGAGUGACGGUAAUGGGUAAAGAAGCACCGGCUAACUACGUG
rnacentral:rRNA from 1 species